rnacentral:lncRNA from 1 species
CAGCCAAACCCAAAGGAGGGCCGGGGUUCCUGGGUGGCGGAAAUACCGCAGAUAUGCUAUAACUUGGAAGACGUUGCUGUCACCUGGGGGCAAGUGUCAACAGCUAAUGUCUCUUUUCCCUCCAUGGGCAGUUGAUAACCCCCGCUCCCCUUUUUUCCCCUCUAAAUUAAGCUAUAUAUCCUCCUUUUCCCCUUCCUCUUCA